UUAACAGGAGUAAUUAUGCUAGUACUGGUGUUCAGCCUUCCAGUGCUUUCAGAAGACUCAGAGUGAUCUGAGUUUUGGUUAAUUAAAGUGCUGUGCCUUCUGUUUGACAAAACUGUAUCCCAAGUACUCAAUAGACAUUACAAGGAUUGCUAUGCCAAACAUUUAAUCCCUUUAAGAGCAUCAUGACUCUUCAGAAUUGAAUGGAUUUGUUCUUUUUAUCUAUGGAAGAUAGGGAACAGAAGACUCAACCACAGAGGAAGUCUGUAGAAGAAGAAGGACUUCAACCCAAGUCUUCUAAUGUUUAAGCUUACAGCCCCUAAUCACUGGACCACUCUGCUGAGGCUGUGUUCUGCCACUGCACUUCCAGUUCCAGCAAGGAGCAGAAGCAUGGCAAAGGCUGUUCUUUUGGUCAGAGAGGAAGUCCCACUGGAAAGCUAUUCUAACAAGUGUGCUGUCUGAUUUCCUGAGCAAAAAUGUUUAGAUACUUUGGCAGAAUCCAGCUAUGAACACAUGGAGAUGAUUAUUGAGAAGGUUGUGUGGGCCCAUACUGCCAGUACAUACACUGAGAAGAACUGAAAGUCAUUACCACCUGGUGGCACAAGUGGCAGCCCUGCUGGCUGUUGUGUCUGAGAAGCCAAGGUUUCAAUCAACAUGGAGCCGAAGCUACCUCCCACUUCUAUUAGUGGUUCCUUCAGGUCACCACUAAGUCACAAGACACCGUGGAAAAGUUGCAUGGCCAUUGCCUAUGUUGUAUCAGUUCCGAGGGUAGAGAACUUCAGGCCUAUCAGGUCUUGGACCGAGUGCUACAUUCACUAAAAAUCAGAGUGUUUAUGUACCGCUAAAAGAGUUUGAAUUUUGGGCAAAGUUUAAUGGUUACCAUGGAAACCUGGGAAGCUCAAUUCUAACAUACACCUCAUUCUGUCAUUGCAUGGUUCUGUACAGUAU